CCCUUAUGAUCGGGAUAACAGUUGGAAACGGCUGCUAAUACCGGAUACGCUCAAAAGUGAACUUUUUGAGGAAAGAUGGCCUCUGCUUGCAUGCUAUCACGUAAGGAUGAGUCCGCGUCCCAUUAGCUGUUGGCGGGGUAACGGCCCACCAAGGCAACGAUGGGUAGCCGACUUGAGAGGAUGAUCGGCCACACUGGAACUGAAACACGGUCCAGACUCCUACGGGAGGCAGCAGUGGAGAAUAUUGCGCAAUGGGCGAAAGCCUGACGCAGCGACGCCGCGUGAGGGAUGAAGGUUUUCGGAUCGUAAACCUCUGUCAGAAGGGAAGAAACUACGUUGUGCUAAUCAGCAGCGUACUGACGGUACCUUCAAAGGAAGCACCGGCUAACUCCGUGCCAGCAGCCGC
rnacentral:rRNA from 1 species